CCUACGGUUGGCAGCAGUGGGGAAUAUUGCACAAUGGGGGAAACCCUGAUGCAGCAACGCCGCGUGAGUGAGGAAGUAUUUCGGUAUGUAAAGCUCUAUCAGCAGGGAAUAGAAAAGAAGGUACCUGAAAAAGCAGCCCCGGCUAACUAAGUGUCAGGAGCCGCGGUAAUACGUAGGGGGCAAGCGGUAUCCGGAUGUACUGGGUGUAAAGGGAGCGUAGACGGAAAGGGAAGUCAAAAGUGAAAAGCCAAGGCUCAACCAUGGGACUGCUUUUGAAACUGGCAAACUAGAGUACGGGAGAGGUAAGAGGAAUUCCUAGUGUAGCGGUGAAAUGCGUAGAUAUUAGGAGGAACACCAGUGGCGAAGGCGUCUUACUGGACCGAAACUGACGUUGAGGCUCGAAAGCGUGGGGAGCAAACAGGAUUAGAUACCCGGGUAGUC
rnacentral:rRNA from 1 species